rnacentral:lncRNA from 1 species
CUCCUCUUUAAAGCGUCUCAAAACUGUGAUUUCUUCUGCAGCUCCUGGACUGAUAAACUGCAGAAACUCUGAGUUGUGUUUGUUGAUGGAAGAUGUUUCUGUGCUCAGAUGAAUAAACGACAGAGACACACAGAAACUCUGGAUGAAAACCUUCAGGAGCCCCCCAGUCAGACUGUCCCCCCCUGUUCUGUCUUUCCUGUUUUUCUAACAGGUCUGUGAUUCUUCUCUCUCUCAGCCCGGGUUUGUCGGGGAUUUCUCUUUGCCUGAUAUGAAACUUUCCCUUUCAGUCAGUUUCACCUGCUGCUGCCCUCCACACUCUCUCAGUGUCCUCAGUGUCCUGAAUCAGUUCACAAACAUUUAUUGAGUGUUACACUCAAUAAAUGUUUGUGAACUGAGGAGACGAACUGUUGAAGCUUUGAAGGUGGAAUUCUUUCCCAUUCUUGCUUGAUGUACAGCUUCAGUUGCUCAACAGUCUGGGGUCUCUGUUGUCCUAUUUUACGCUUCAUAAUGCUCCACACAUUUUCAAUGGGAGACAGGUCUGGACUGCAGGCAGGCCAGUCGAGUACCCGCACUCUUUAACUACAAAGCCACGCUGUUGUAACAUGUGCAGAAUGUCCGUCCAUGAAAAAGACGUUGCUUGGAUGUAGGGCUGAAACGAUUACUCGAGUAACUCGAUUAAUAAAAUUCCUCGAGGCAAAUUAUAUGCCUCGAGGAAUCGUUUAAAUCCGGAACCAUGUGCAGCGCACGGUGUUUGACACGGAUGGUUAUUUCUGUUGCGCAGCAGCGUGCUCUUUCCGCUCCUUCCGCUGCCGCGCGUUUCAUAGACAUAAUAAAAGGGUAGACCCCGCUGGGGGUGCUGCGCAGCGAGAAAUGCGGCCGCCAUCUUGGUCAGGUCAAGCUUCCCAUACGCUCCGGUCAAUCAUAUUCAUUCAUUCAGCGAUGCCGGAGCACUGUGCGGCGUAUUCCUGUGCCAACAGGCGGACAGCAGAGAACAGGGCUCAAGAAAUAACUUUUCACAGUUAUGAUUAAACAUUUUUUAAACAUUACACUUGACUGUAGAGUCAUUUGUAGGCCAAAGAGGAAGACUAUCGGUCAACUCCAAAAAGGAAACAGCAUUUGCGAACAGCUGGCUUAUUCACAAUAAUAGCAACUUUGGUCGAUUAUCAACAGAUUUGCAUUAGAUUGAAAAACUUUUGUUUGAGAGAGGUUCUAAGAAACGUUAAGAAAUAAAAUAGAAAGAAAAAGGAAGAAAGUGAGCUCUGUUUUAUUAUCUGUUUUAUUAAAGAUUUCUUUGUGGUGAUCUCCUGUUUCAUUUUGAAGAUUUCCUAAGGACAAAAACUUGAGGAAGAAGUGGGAGAUUGCUGUUAGAGGGAGAAAUUCGCAGCAAGUGAUUCCUCUGUGCUGUGUAGCCAACAAGCAAAUUGAUAUGUAGUUUAGAUGCUGUCCUGUCAUGCUGUUCUUGUGUUUAAAUCUUUUUGAUAUGUAGGCUAUAUAUUUGUGUGUAUUUUCCAGUUAUUAAAAUAGUGCUCCUAUAUGACAUUAUUUGUGUGUGUCUACAAAUGGAUAAAUAAAAUUAAACUAUAUAAAAAAUUAUAAUCAAAUCAAUAUAUAUUGAAUUGGCCUAUUAAAACCGCCAGUUAUUAAUAAUUAUUGAGACAUAGCAGGAACCUAGCUCUAAACCUAAAUAUAUCCUUGAUUAAUUGUUAUACUAUAAUACAGCCACUGCUGCCAUGUUCUAAAAUAUCAUUUUAUUCAUUCUGAGUAUUUGAAAACGCCAAAAAAAAAUAUGGCCUCUAUCAUGCCUCUUUGAAUGGCGUUUGCAGAGAAGAAAAUUACGUAGUAUUGAGCGAACUAUGAUUCAUUAAUGCGCUCAGACUUCAUUCCGCCGGUUAAACAGCGGUGCAGAGUGAGGCGGAUGACCGGACCAAGAUGGCGGCCGCAUUUCUCGACAGCGCCCAUUCGUGGUAGCGGCCGAUGCGGGGUCUAUCUUUUAUUAUGUCUAUGGCGCGUUUGGUUCAAUCAUGGAGGGAAACGAGGACAGACAGAGAGAGGAAGAAAGAGAUGACACGCAGAGGAAACGGCAGAAAGUGUCUAAAGUGUGGGACCAUUACACACUGAAAAGGAAAGAAAAUGCCGUGCAGUGCGUUCACUGUAAGGCGGAGUUGGCGUUUCACAACAGCACGUCGUCAAUGCUGCAGCACCUUAAAAGAAAACACCCGGUUCAUGCAUUAAGUCCGCUCUGAGGCAAACGUGAUUCAAUGCAAAGUAUUACAGUGAGAGCAAAACAUUUCUUAUCCGAUUACUCGAUUACUCGACAGAUUAAUCGAUAGAGUACUCGAUUACUAAAAUAAUCGAUAGCUGCAGCCCUACUUGGAUGGCAGCAUGUUGCUCUAAAACCUGUGUGUACCUUUCAGCAUUAAUGUUGCUUUCAGAGAUGUGUAAGUUACCCAUGCCUUGGGCACUAAUGCACCCCCAAACCAUCACAGACGCUGGCUUUUGAACUCUGCGUCUACAACAGUCCGGAUGGUUCUUUUCUGCUUUGGCCCGAAUGACACGACGUCCACUGUUUCCAAAAACGAUCUGAAAUGUGGACUCGUCAGACCACAGAACACUUUUCCACUUUGCAUCAGUCCAUCUUACAUGAGCUCGGGCCCAGAGAAGCCAGCGGCGUUUCUGGAUGUUGUUGAUAAAUGGCUUUGGCUUUGCGUAGUAGAGUUUUAACUUACAGAUGUAGAGAUGAACUGUAUUUACUGACAGUGGUUUUCUGAAGUGUUCCUGAGCCCAUGUGGUCAUAUCCUUUACACAAUGAUGUCAGUUUUUGAUACAGUGCCACCUGAGGGGUCGAAGGUCACGGGCAUUCAAAGUUGGUUUCCGGCCGUGUCGCUUAUGUGCAGUGAUUUCUCCAGAUUCUCUGAACCUUUUGAUGAUAUUAUGGACUGUAGUUGAAAUCUCUAAAUUCUUUACAAUUGUACUUUGAGAAACGUUGUUCUUAAACUGUUCGACUAUUUGCUCACGCAGUUGUUCACAAAGUGGUGAACCUCGCCCCAUCCUUGCUUGUGAAUGACUGAGAAUUUUUGGCGAAGCUGCUUUUAUACCCAAUCAUGACACCCACCUGUUCCCUAUUAGCCUGCUCACCUGUGGGAUGGUCCAAACAGGUGUUUGAUGAGCAUUCCUCAAAUUUCUCACCUGUCCCGACUUCUUUGUCACGUGUUGCUGCCAUCAGAUUCUGUAUUAAAUUGAAUAUAGGUUAGAAAUCAUUUGCAAAUCGUUGCUGUAAGAAAAAUUGUAUGUGUAUGCUAUCACGUGUAUUUUAUCAUAAUGUAAGUAUUUUACUCAUCAUUUACUGAAAAUCACUUGGUGUGAAUGCUUGCAGAAUCAUAUCUGUUUCUUUUUAAUGAGCAUGGGAAAGGAGAAGUAUGGCCUUAGAGUUGGGACUUAUACUUUUCCACUUUUAUGAAUCACCUCUCCCAGAUCUGUCUCCCAAAUAGUUUUAAAGGUCCCCUAUUAUGAAAGAUCCACUUUUGGGGUGGUUUUCUACCAAUAAUAUGCAUACCGGACAUGAAAAAAUUUCAUUCUCUCCCACUCUUGCUUUCCCCUCCUUUCUGAAAACAUGAGCGCAAACGGGCGGAUGGAAAAGCUGUGCGGUUAUGAUGAACUUAAACCCGAUGCUGUGCAAAAAAUAAAAAUGCAUCAAAGUUAAUUUUGUUGCUUAUAUUUGACAUACCCAAGGGUGUGAUAGCAUGUAAAAAAUCUUCAGCCUCUCAUUACUUUUUAUAUUGAAAUUCUGUCAUUUUGUGUGAUUUUUUCUCUUUCCAUCAAAUCAGUGACAUCGCCUCUUAAUUUGGCAUUUAAUUUGGCAUUUAAGGGUUAAAAUUCAUAAUGAAAUAAUAAUAAAAAAUGUUAUGAUAAGGACUGAGCUUUGAAUAGAUUUGAGCAAAAAAAAUUGUCUGGUAUGUUUUUAUAGCAGCUAAAGUAAGUGACCCAAAACAGCCACAACGCAACCAAAGGUAGUAAAUCUGUAAACAGUGCAUUUAAAAAUUUUGAAAGAGAAAAUUAAAAAUAUACGUCAAAUUAAACUUCUUUACCAAAAAUGAUUUCACUCUCUAAAAAAUAGCGAGUAUUUUGGUCAAAAAAGUGAGUAUUUUGCCCCCUACUGGCUAAAAAAAGCCACAAGGUGACACAAGGGUUAACAAACUUCUGAAAAUAAACAUUCAUAGAAAUGGAGGCAUGAUCCAAAACAACAAUUGAGUCAUAUUUGCAGCCAGAAAUGUUGGAUAACAAUUUAUUAUUCACUAGAAAAAAAAUCAAUUCAAGUGUAAGUAUGAUGAAUAUGAAAGAAAAAAAAGAGUAUUCCCUUUUAUCUGGAUCGAAAAAACGCCAAGGGUUAACAACAUUAACCUUGUUCAUAAAGGCUUGAAUCACUUUGGUCGACUUGGAUUGGGAAGAAUGGUUUAAGUAUGGAUUAAUCCAGCAGUUGAAGUCUCCACCUAAGAUUAAAUCAUACAUGGACAAGUCAGGUAGCAUUGAGAAAACCUGUCUAAAAAAGACUCAUCAUCCCAGUUGGGGUCAUAAAAAUGUGUCCUAUGACCUGCAAUAAACCUGCCACCAGAAUCAGACAUUGUCUCAAUAUAAACAAAAGGAAUAUCAAAAGGAUUUGGCUCCCCCCUGUGGACCGAAGCAGAGAGAGCAUCAAAGAUAACAAAAGGUAAAAGGAGGAGAGGAGGAAAUAAGGAAGGAGGGAAGGAGAAAACAAAAGAGAGGGGAAGGAAACAAAAGAAGGGAGGAUGAAAUAAGGGAGGAGAAAGGAGGAAUAGAGGUAGUUCAGGCAGGUCGCUGAGUCAAGCUGAUCUUAAACCAGCCCUCAGUUAGCUUACAGCUCAGGUGAUCGCCCUCUACACAUCCUAUUGGCUAAUGUCAAAAUGGCGCCCUAUUUAAACUGCUUCUCCUGUCUACUCUGCCUGCUGCAAUUCUGCCUUUUUGCUUUUUCCUACCUUGCUCUUCAUCAUGUCGAUCCCUGCCCACGACAAGGAUCCACGGCAGAUUGACUGCUUUCUGAAACGCAGCACCAGCAUGUGAGGUCGAGGAAGCCAGUCCUUGCAAUGACAGAUGCGUUUCCUUCUGCACGAGCUCUCCUCUGGCAAGUAAAACUUUUAUUUCUCCCAGCUUCAUGAAGUCCAGGCUCCUAGAAGUCCUUUAUAGAUAACAUCACAGCUCCCGGUGGUGCCUCACAUCAAUAUCCACAUAGAGCCCCCACUUGCAGUUCUCUCUUCCUCCUCUGUAUCCAGAAAAGCGACCGAGAAAAGAAAACGCUGUUCCCGCCGCGUCACGGCAGUUCAGCUUCAGCCGCCGCGUCAUCGCCGCCGCCCGCAGAGCGCGAGGCCCAACCCCAGCCACCAGAGCCGCGGACGUGGACGACAAUCCCAUCCUGAAAGCACUAUCCAGCAUCCAGCCAUCGCUCGCCCACAUGUCUUCGAGGAUCGAAGCCCCAGAAUCCGGUUCGGCACGUGCUAAGCUGUCCUCCUUCAUCCCAGCUGUCACCUUCCUUCACCGCGCUGAACGAUGACGUCACUCCAGCGACAACCGACGACAGCGUCACGAUCCCGCCAAAGACCCUGGGAAGUGCAGUCCCCGUCUCCAUCGGCGUCCCAUUCUUCCCUCCCGCGGCUGCAAUUACACCGAAUCUGCGGAGCCAAAUCCUCGAAGGUACCGACAUUAAUCUUGUAAAGAAUCUUGCUGUGCUCCGACUACAAUGAUAGACGCAUUGUGGAUUGCGGAGAUGAGUCUGUGAUGCUUAAAUAUCGUGAUGCGCGUCUGUUUAAAUCUCCGACCUUAGCUGAAUUCAUGUAGCUUUCUGCGUAUUUGGAAAUGUCAUAUGUGAAGUGUUUUCAGCACGCAGAACUGAACUGGACACAUAUCUUGCCAUUAUUUCUGAUUCAGACAUGACUUAUGGAAGAAUAUUAUUCUAGGAAUCUCACAAAUCAUUUUCAGCAAAGCUGCUAAGUACAUUCAAAGAUUCAACCAGACUUGAUUAGUCCGUAGGCGACCUGGCUCAACUCGACUUAGCAUCAAGCUUUUUCUUGCUCAAGCUGUGGGUCUUCCUCUCACACCCAGAGUAAGCCAGGAAGCAGGUAUGCAGCGGUACACAGCAGUACGCUGUUAAAUAGAUAAAUGAUUAUUAAAUAAACAAAUAAAUAGAUUUUAUGUUCAAGAGAGGGAGAGAGAGAUGCAGCAGAUGAUGGUACUGUGGCAUCAGAGUCGGCGCCUCGCUAAAUGUGGGUAUACUCCUCUUGUUCAAAGCCUAUGGGCACAGUACAUGCAAGAACCUUAUCCUACAUUAACUAAGGUGACCAGACGUCCCCGAUUUCCGGGGACAGUCCCCGAAUUGGAUGACCUGUCCCUGGAAAAAGCUGUCCCCGAAAAUGGGUAAGGAAGCACAAGUAAGCAGUCCUGAACAACAGUUGUUACGGGAGUUAUUACAAGGCCGAAUGUCCCCUGGUUUCAUUACAGAAAUCUGGUCACCUUAAUAUUAACCCCUGCUCACACCUCCAAUCUGUGCCCUAAAACUGUGGCUACAGGCCAACCGCCAAGCUUUUUCUAAGCCUACAUCACUUCAAGGCCAAGUUACUGCAGGGACGGUUAUCUAAAAAACAGCACGCCCAAGAUGCACCCGCCUUGUAAAAAAGGAGAAUACAGCUGUCUACUCCGUCAAAUGUCCCUGAGCUGGGGAAGGCACUGGCAAAGCAUCCCAACCACUGUUUGUGAAUUAUUUGAUAACAGGACUGGUUCAGGGGUUCCUAGCAUAGUUGAUGGAGAGGAGGUAGAGAAGUAAGAGGACAUGCUCGAGAGGCAGUUCAUCUACCGGAAAGAGAACUUGGCAUAUUAAUUUUCCUUGCGCGUCAUGCCUCAGGGGCGGUCCUUUAUAUCUAGACUUUUCAACCUUGCCAAAUCAGUGGAGAAACUCCAUGAUAGAGUAAGUUUAGAUGAAGGUUGCAGAUCCAAACUGCGGUUUGGUCACUUCUGUGUAAAAAUGGAAAGGCAUCUCAUUCUCUUAUAGUGACUAUCAGGAAUCUUCUCCUGUGAUUUAAGCUAUUUAUAGUCACAGCACCAUAUGUUGGUUUUGGGGGGUUUUAAUAAUCAGUGGUUGCUGAUGUUUGGCCGAAUGAACUGUCUUCUCUGCCAAAAAAUGUGUCUUCAACUGCUUUAAUGUUUUAAGGGUAACCUAUACUACACAAGCUUUUGGAGGUGGGUAGGAUGCUUCAUAGUUUCUUGCUGCUGGCUGCUGCUCUGCUGUUGCCUGGUAUGGUUGUUCUGGGGGGCUUUUUUGCUGCUGUUUUCCCUGCCUCGGCUUCCAUGUGCUACAUGAAAGCUGAGAGGGUCGCCUUGUAUGGUGUUUUGGGGGAUUUCGAUUUAUUUAUCUUAAUCGUAUUUAUGUGCUGCUGCUUUCUCUGCCUUGGCUUUUCAUGUUUGCACAUGAAAGGGAGGGGAGGAACUGUCCCCUCUUGUAGCCGUGGCAUUCCAUGCAAGCGCAUGGAAGAGCAGAGAACUCUCAGAACAGAGAUAUGCCGCCAGUGUAAAAUAUGUUUGAUUGUAAUUAGUGCUGGGCGAUGGGACGAUAGAUAUCGUGGGCACGAUAGAAAAUGUCUAUCGUGCCAUUUUUAUUUUUAUCGUUUCGGGCGAUAGGCUGUAUUUUAUCCAUAGGGCUUGUGCCAUCAGAUGAUUCAUAGUAACAACAACAAUAAUUGCACAUUCAGUAAGUGUAUUUGGUGUCGAACGGGAAAGAAAACAAUAUUUUCUUGCAAAGAAAAGGAUGCGUUGACAUGUAGGCUCGCAUUUCUCUUUCGAUUUUGCGACAUGACGCCGCUUUACGUGCCCUCUUCGUGUCCAGCGUCUCCCGCCGUUGCGGGUUACCUGGGUUACACACGUGAGGGGAUCAUUGUAAGCAGUGCUUAAUUUGUGCCGGAGCAAGUCGGAGCGCGAUCCAGGACCUCUUUUGAUCGGAUCCGGGACCUAUUUCAGCCGCUCCGGCACCUGUUUCAUCUGCUCCGGGACCUUCCCUGUAGAGGAUGACAUUUUUCGGGAAUUCCUGUGGGUCACGUGAUUCCCGCAGGACUCCCACGGGAUGGGAGUCAUUUUUUAAUUAAUCCCUUGAUCGGGACGGGACGGGAAAAAAAGCAACGGGAGUGGGCAGGAGCGGGAACAACAUUAAAAGAUGAUCAUUUUCAGCCGUGUUUAACAACCAGAUGAACAGGUGCGUCCAUUUUUGUAGUCAUCUCUCAGUGAGAGCCAACACUCUUGACCGCGCUAGCAACACAAAAGAACUACAACAGUGGUUUGACUUCCUGUCAGCUGGGAGCGCGGCUGCGCAUUUCUACCCUUCAAGCCAGCAGCGAGGAAACGUAAUUUUGUGACACUCUGUAGUUUUUCAAUCAUUUCUGGAGUCGUGGCGAAUCAAAUCACCUGACCUGUCUGCCCCUGAUAGGCGAAUAAAGCGCUCUGAUUCAUGCUCGGGUCUUCCUACGUGCUUCAAGAGUAAAGUAAACAAUGAUGGAGGCAGAGAGCAGCUUUGGAGGAGAAACAUCUAGCAGUGUGAACAACCCCUUAAAGACCAACCUUUUUAAUAAAGCCUUUGGUUAGUUUUCCUCUAUGCUUUUACUACCUUGCCUCUUACAUUGCAACUCUAUAUUUUUUAUUUUUCUAAUUCUUUUUUUUAUGCCAAUCUGUGACUGUCAUUCUAUUGCUUUUUUAUUGUUGCUGCUCUUUUUUUACUGUGUACUGUAGCACUUUGAGAUUUUUGGUAAAUGUAAAGUGCAUUACAAAUUAAAUUUAUUAUUAUUAUUAUUAUUAUUAUUAUUAUUAUGGAGUGCUUUGGCUCACACUAUCAGCGUUUUCUGUGAGUGUUGCAUAACUUUGGGUGAGCACAGACAUGAACGCACUUCAGCCACGUAUUUAUUUAUUAAUUUUUCUAGUUUUAAGUGCUGGUCUUGUACUGGUACUAGUGCAGCUGUAUACACUUAAAUUUUUCAUAGAACUGAAAGCAUACCAUAGCUAUAUCGUGAUAUAUAUCGUUAUCGUGAUAUAAAAUGAUCCAUAUCGUGAUACACAUUUUUUUCCAUAUCGCCCAGCACUAAUUGUAAUAAAUAAAUUUUGACUAAAGUGAUCCUGAGUCGAAUAAAAAAAGAGAGGAGGAAAUAAGGAAAGAGAGGAGGACAUAGGGAGCAGAGGAGGACAAAAGGGAUCAGAGGAGGAAAUAAAAGAAGAGAGAAGGAAAUAAAAUAAGGGAGGAGAGGAGGACAUAAAAGAGAAGAGGAGGAAAUAAAAGAAGAAGUGUCAGACAGGGGAGUGUGUUCACCUGCAGUCAGGUUUGAGGAAAUAAAACCGUCUGAUGAAGACCAGACCCUCAGGAGAAAACAUGUCAUCAUAACAGAGACGGCAGCAGGAAACAGCGCUGUGACCGACUCAAAACCACUCAACGACGUGAAAAUAAACCAAAGAGGAGCUCGGACAGUUCAGUCCAAACCUGAACAGAAGUCUGCUUCGUUUCCUUCUGAUCAUUUUCAUUAUUUUAUUUUAUGUUUAAGAAAAUUUGAGGUUAGAUAAACUUCCUCUGCAGUCAGCCCGUUUCCCUCAUAUCGACAGUUUUUGAUGCAUGUUUAUGGAAAUAUUUUAGUUUUCCAAAGUGUCGAACCAGGUUUGUGAUUUUUUGACAAAUUAGGAUCAAAAUUCAAUGAAACACUUUGAGAAGAUCUUCAGUGAGACACACACAGAUUUACACAGCCCUCUGCAGCUACAGUUCACUCAUUAAAGGAAGAAUUCAAAGGUUUUAUUGGGUCAUUAUUUUAGUUUUAUUGAAAAUGUUUUAUGUACAGUUUCCUAUUCAAAGUCUAAAUUAACAGAAAGAAGUUUCCAGAGUCUGAACACUUUCAAACACCGACGAUCUCUCAACGCAUGCAUGACACGGCUGAAACCAGAUUGUGGUCAGGGGGGUCUCCAAUCCUUGACCAUGGAGUGUGGGGGGGUCUCAGCAGAGCAAGGGUCUACAUGUUGUUCAGGUAGUCCUCUCCGUAGUCUACUAUCUGUCUCAGGGCGGUCAGGAUUGGUCUGCUCACCUCAUCAGACAUGGAGCACUCAGACUCGUAGUUCUUCACCAGGAAGAUGCAGUUGACAGGGAUCCCCAGGAGGACGCUGAACUGCUCCACCUUCAGGUCACAGAGACGGUCUGGUUACUGGACUCUGAGUAAAGGUCUUUGGACAAUCUAAGGGACUCAGACUCACCUGCUUCUUCAGGUAUUUGCUCUUGUGAAUGUUGCGGAUGUCUCUCCCCACCUCUGGACAGGCUUUGUCCACUUUGGUGAGGAUGGCGAACUGGGGGAUUCCUGCAGACACACAGAGGGGUUCAGACCUCAGACAGCAGGACUCUGGUGACUUAGAGUCCACAGAGCGGGAACUUACCCUGGUCCCUGGCUGCCAGUCUGACCUGUCUUAACUUCUGCACCACCCCAUCAGUCAGCCGAGACACAGUGUCCACAGGGACCACGCAGACCAGGACGUGGACUUUGUCAUCCAAGGUGGGGAUUGGGUUGUAGCCAUGAUCACGCUCUGAGAGCGGGUUUUGAGGAUUAAACUAGAAAAAAAUGAGAUAAAGACAAAAUUAUCUUGAAGACUUAAAAAUAGGCAACUGGACUGUGUAGAGUUGAGAAGAUGUUUCGCCUCUUAUCCAAGAAGCUUCUAGUGUGAGGAGCAGAUAUUUAUCUUACUGGAGAAGGGGACAGACAACGACUGGGAGGAGUUGGAAAGAAUGGGUCGAAGAAACCCAUUUCUGGUUUUUUUAAGACUUAAAAAAGAAUAUAUGAGAAACACGUCUUUUCCACGGGGAAAAAACUGGUGUACUUGAAGGAAAUCGCUGCUUUUGUGGAGGCAGAAAUGAAUAUGCUGAGGAUAUAUCUGUCAACGCAGCCGUAAAUAUCUGUGAAUGACAUUGAGCUUUAGUUUAUGAUAUGAAUCCAUAUGCCAUAAUAAGGUGUUGGUGUCUCUGCAGGUGUAGGUUACCGCCGGUGUCAGAGACAUGGUGCUCGUCGGAGCUCGACUCCCUCUGGAUCACAAAUGUUGAUCAUCAUCAGUUUGAUUGUUUCUUCAGAAACCACAAAAUCUCUCUGAAUGACCCGCUGAUACAUCCACAGAUAACCCUGCAGAUGACCAGCUUCAGUCAUUUCCCCCUCCACAAAAGCAGCUUCAUGACUUUAUUUACUUUAUGACUUUAUUCUCCUAAAUUUACAACUUGAAUCUCUAAAUCUUAAAAGAAAAAAAACUCAAUGUUGUCCUGAUCCUCUGCUGUAGUUUUGUCAGCUUCUUAUUUCUAAUGUUUUUGAUAGUUGUAACACAGCGGAUCAGUUCGUCUCUAAAUCUAUAAUGUUUGGUUUACAGAUUUUAGUGAGUUCAGAGAUCAUGCUCUCAUACAGCCUGAGCUGACUGUCUGCUGAUUUUGGAUUUCUUGUAUUUUCUUUGAAGACGCGCUGUGUCCACAAGCGAGUCCAGCCUCUCACCUGAAAUGCGAAGCUGUGCAGCGGCACGCAAAGAAUUCUGGGAUACCGACAGCACGAAAGCGUGCAUAAAUGCACGCUUGAAAAAGGGCCGGGGGUAGUGUGGUUUUGAGACCGAAUUUGAAGCGCGCUUAGUAUUUUGUACCAAACGGGACACCGUUCGUGCCGCGUGAUGACCUCACGCACGCUUCAGAUGCGCCGUUCGACGGUUGCGGUCUCUGAAAUGGGACACAGGAAGGGUGCAAAACGGCAGUGCACUCAGCUAAGCGCGCUUCUCCCGAUGCGGUCUCUGAAAUGAGACACAGCCAGAGGCUGUGUCUCAUUUCAGAGACCGCAUCGACCUAAGUGCCCUUCUGCACCGUCGAACGGUGCAUUUGAAGUGUGCAUGACGUCACGACGGUGCGAACGGUGUCCCGUUUGGCACGAGAUGCUAAAAAAUGCUAAGCGCGCUUAGCAUGUUUUCAAGCGUGCAUUUAUCCACGCUUUCGUGCCGUCGGUAUCCCAGAAUCCUUUGCGUGCUGCUGCACAGCUGCGCAUUUCAGGUGAGAGGCUGGACUCGCUUGGAGACGCAGCGCGUCUUCAAAGAAAUUACAAGCAAUCCAAAAACAGCAGACAGUCAGCUCAGGCUGUAUGAGAGCAUGAUCUCUGAACUCACUAAAAUCUGUUAACCAAACAUUAUAGAUUUAGAGACGAACUGAUCCGCUCUGCUUCAACUAUCAAAAACAUUAGAAAUGAGAAAGCUGACAAAACUACAGCAGAGUAUCAGGACAACAUUGAGGUUUUUUUCUAUUAAGAUUUAGAGAUUCAAGUUGUAAAUUUAGGAGAAUAAAGUCAUAAAGUAAAUAAAGUCAUAAAGCUGCUUUUGUGGAGGGGGAAAUGACUGAAGCUGGUCAUCUGCAGGGUUAUCUGUGGAUGUAUCAGCGGGUCAUUAAGAGAGAUUUUGUGGUUUCUGAAGAAACAAUCAAACUGAUGAUGAUCAACAUUUGUGAUCCAGAGGGAGUCGAGCUCCGACGAGCACCACGUCUCUGACACCGGCCGUAGCCUACACCUGCAGAGACACCAACACCUUAUUAUGGCAUAUGGAUUCAUAUCAUAAAUUACAGCUCAAUGUCAUUCACGGAUAUUUACGGCUGCAUUGACAGAUAUAUCCUCAGCAUAUUCAUUUCUGCCUCCACAAAAGCAGCGAUUUCCUUCAAGUACACCAGUUUUUUUCCCCGUGGAAAAGACGUAUUUCUCAUAUAUUCUUUUUAAAGUCUUUAUACUUAUGACAAUGUGAUGCUGAUGUGCCAGAGGAUGAAGUAUCUCCUAUCCUCCUUCUAAAUAGGGCCCUCAUACUCCUUCAUACAAAACAAUCAUUGGAUUAAUUUUGUGGGAAUGAUCUGGGCUUGUAUGUAUCUACUAUUUUGUGUCUGUGCAAGGUCGCACAAUUAAAACAAUACAUGCUGCGCUCCGCAGCUUUUUUUCUAAUCAGUCGUGACGUAAGCCUGAGGGCGGGGACAUUUGGAGACCUUCGGAGGACUUCCUGGUGGAGUUGCCAAAUGUCCCCGCCCUCAGGCUCGCGUCACGACUGACUUAAAGGAAACCCGCAGAGCGCAGCAUUUAUUGUUUUAAUUGUGCGACCUUGCACAGACACAAAAUAGUAGAUACAUACAAGCACAAUUCAUCCAAUGAUUGUUUUGUAAGAAGGAGUAUGAGGGCCAUAUUGAGAUUUAAGACUUUAAGGACUUCGAGAUUUAAGUCGUGAAUUUACGAGAAUAAAGUCAUUAAUUUAUGAGAAUGAAGUCAUAACCUGUUAUUUCAGAGAGACUUGCUAAAAUUAGGGCCAUGAAGCAUUUGAAGGAACUGUGCUUCAGUAUAGGUUUCACAAACAAGGAGAUUCUUCAUCCUCUGGCACAUCAGCAUAACAUUGUCAUAAGUAUAAAGACUUUAAAAAGAAUAUAUGAGAAAUACGUCUUUUCCACGGGGGAAAAAACUGGUGUACUUGAAGGAAAUCGCUGCUUUUGUGGAGGCAGAAAUGAAUAUGCUGAGGAUAUAUCUGUCAAUGCAGCCGUUAAUAUCCGUGAAUGACAUUGAGCUUUAGUUUAUGAUAUGAAUCCAUAUGCCAUAAUAAGGUGUUGGUGUCUCUGCAGGUGUAGGCUACGGCCGGUGUCAGAGACGUGGUGCUCGUCGGAGCUCGACUCCCUCUGGAUCACAAAUGUUGAUCAUCAUCAGUUUGAUUGUUUCUUCAGAAACCACAAAAUCUCUCUGAAUGACCCGCUGAUACAUCCACAGAUAACCCUGCAGAUGACCAGCUUCAGUCAUUUCCCCCUCCACAAAAGCAGCUUCAUGACUUUAUUUACUUUAUGACUUUAUUCUCCUAAAUUUACAACUUGAAUCUCUAAAUCUUAAAAGAAAAAAAACUCAAUGUUGUCCUGAUCCUCUGCUGUAGUUUUGUCAGCUUCUUAUUUCUAAUGUUUUUGAUAGUUGUAACACAGCGGAUCAGUUCGUCUCUAAAUCUCUAAUGUUUGGUUUACAGAUUUUAGUGAGUUCAGAGAUCAUGCUCUCAUACAGCCUGAGCUGACUGUCUGAUGGUUUUGGAUUGCUUGUAUUUUCUUCGAAGACGCGCUGUGUCUCCAAGCGAGUCCAGCCUCUCACCUGAAAUGCACAGCUGUGCAGCGGCACGCAAAGAAUUCUGGGAUACCGACGGCACGAAAGCGUGCAUACAUGCACGCUUGAAAACGAGGCGGGGGUAGUGUGGUUUUGAGACCGAAUUUGAAGCGCGCUUAGUAUUUUGUGCCAAACGGGACACCGUUCGUGCCGCGUGGUGACCUCACGUACGCGUCAGAUGCGCCGUUCGAUGGCUGCUGUAUCUGAAAUGGGACACAGGAAGGGCACAGAACGGCGCAAAACGGCGUAAAACGGCUCAAAACGGCAGUGCACUCAGCUAAGCGCCGUUAAGCGCGCUUAUCACGAUGCGGUCUCUGAAAUGAGACACAGCCAGAGUCAUUCUCAAAAUCCCCUCAGCCACAGGAAGUAGUAAUACACCUUAAAACAGGAAGAUGGCGCUGUUGUACACUGGUGUGGUAUCAUGUCCUCACAGACUUGGUUCUGGUUCGAUCAGUGACUGUGGAUUUAACCUCUAUGGUUGGACAGAUUAGACUCUACAGGACCUUCAGUUCAACAAAGUCCUUCAGUGCGUACCUUGUGAUUUUCCUUCACGUGUCCUUUCAUCGCCAGUUUGACGUCGUCCACUUGGACGCCGUUGUCCAGGCUGUUCUCCAGGCCCAUGAUGUCAUUAAAAACCACAGAAUAAAAGCUCGACGCCUGUUUUUCUAUCUUGUAGGUUUUAUACUGAAAGAAGGAGACAGUAAAUGCAUCAGUUAAACAAAUAAAAGUGUCAAUUUAAAAGAUUUUUCAUUUUCUUAAAAAGGAGAUUCAGUCUGAGAGAGUUAGAGAGAGUUAGUUUCUAAAGAGUUUGUUCAUUUGAGUUUUUCAUUAAUUUGUGGAUAUUUUAUGUUUGUCUCUGUCAUUUUGUAAAUUUGUUAAGUCACGUAUAACUGUCUCAGAAGUUUCUGAAGGACCACAAUCAGACGUUCUCUCAGGCUCUAGACCGUCCUACCUCCAGGGUGUAGCUUGUCCCUGAAGUUGCAUCAGUAGCAGCUCGACCGGUCACACGACCCCUGAGAGCGCUGUCCACUGAGUUGAUGAAACUGGACUUUCCUGCACCGACCGGGCCGUGCAGCAGAACCCUCAAGUGACUGACUUGUUUGUUUCGAGGGUGGUAGGCUCCCAGGUACCUAAUGAUGUCCCCGGAGCUCCUGACAAAGCAGAGACAUCAGAUUGUUUUAUCUCAUCUGUUUAGUAUUAAACAAAAGAGCCCUGACCAUAACAAACUACAAUAAAAUACAACAAGACAAAACCAGAUAAAACAGACAAAAAAAAGUUUAAAAAAGAUCAAUGAAAAGAUUAAAUUAUUUCUAAAAAAAGUUAAAAUUUAAAAGGAUAAAAUAAGAUUCAAUAAAAGUGUGAAAUCAGAUCAAAUAAAAUAAGGAAAUAAAAAAAACACAAAUUAAAAACAGGAUAAAAUAAAAUAAAAAGAUAAGACAAAAUAAAAUGAUAAGAUAAAAAGAUAAAAUCAUUUUAAAAAAUGAAAAUUAAGAAAAUUUCAAGAUAAAACAAGAUUAACAGAUUAUACAAGAUAAAAAGUUGAAGCAAGAUAAAACAAAAUAAAAAUAUAGAAUUGAUGAAAAUAAGACAAGAUAAAACAAGAUAAUUUAUAAUAACAUAAGAUUCAAAAAAGAUAAAAUUAUUUUAAAUAAUUUAAAACAAGAUCAUAUAAUAUAUUAAAACUAAUAAAAUAAAAGGAUAAAAGAAGGAAAGAAAAAAGAAAGGUGUGAUAAGCUUUGUUGAAACUAUAUACACUCACCGGCCACUUUAUUGGGUACACCUGUCCAACUGCUCAUUAACACUUAAUUUCUAAUCAGCCAAUCACAUGGCGGCAACUUAGUGCAUUUAGGCAUGUAGACAUGGUCAAGACAAUCUCCUGCAGUUCAAACCGAGCAUCAGUAUGGGGAAGAAAGGUGAUUUGAGUGACUUUGAACGUGGCAUGGUUGUUGGUGCCAGAAGGGCUGGUCUGAGUAUUUCAGAAACUGCUGAUCUACUGGGAUUUUCACACACAACCAUCUCUAGGGUUUACAGAGAAUGGUCCGAAAAAGAAAAAAUAUCCAGUGAGCGGCAGUUCUGUGGGCGGAAAUGCCUUGUUGAUGCCAGAGGUCAGAGGAGAAUGGCCAGACUGGUUCGAGCUGAUAGAAAGGCAACAGUGACUCAAAUAACCACCCGUUACAACCAAGGUAGGCAGAAGAGCAUCUCUGAACGCACAGUACGUCGAACUUUGAGGCAGAUGGGCUACAGCAGCAGAAGACCUUUCAGCUAAGAACAGGAAACUGAGGCUACAAUUUGCACAAGCUCAUCGAAAUUGGACAGUAGAAGAUUGGAAAAACAUUGCCUGGUCUGAUGAGUCUCGAUUUCUGCUGCGACAUUCGGAUGGUAGGGUCAGAAUUUGGCGUCAACAACAUGAAAGCGUGGAUCCAUCCUGCCUUGUAUCAACGGUUCAGGCUGGUGGUGGUGGUGUCAUGGUGUGGGGAAUAUUUUCUUGGCACUCUUUGGGCCCCUUGGUACCAAUUGAGCAUCGUUGCAACGCCACAGCCUACCUGAGUAUUGUUGCUGACCAUGUCCAUCCCUUUAUGACCACAAUGUACCCAACUUCUGAUGGCUACUUUCAGCAGGAUAAUGCGCCAUGUCAUGAAGCUGGAAUCAUCUCAGACUGGUUUCUUGAACGUGUACCUAAUAAAGUGGCCGGUGAGUGUAUAUAUAAAUACACUCACCGGCCACUUUAUUAGGUACACCAUGCUAGUACCGGGUUGGACCCCCUUUUGCCUUCAGAACUGCCUCAAUUCUUCGUGGCAUAGAUUCAACAAGGUGCUGGAAGCAUUCCUCAGAGAGCUUGGUCCAUAUUGACAUGAUGGCAUCACACAGUUGCCGCAGAUUUGUCGGCUGCACAUCCAUGAUGCGAAUCUCCUGUUCCACCACAUCCCAAAGAUGCUCUAUUGGAUUGAGAUCUGGUGACUGUGGAGGCCAUUUGAGUACAGUGAACUCAUUGUCAUGUUCAAGAAACCAGUCUGAGAUGAUUCCAGCUUUAUGACAUGGCGCAUUAUCCUGCUGAAAGUAGCCAUCAGAAGUUGGGUACAUUGUGGUCAUAAAGGGAUGGACAUGGUCAGCAACAAUACUCAGGUAGGCUGUGGCGUUGCAACGAUGCUCAAUUGGUACCAAGGGGCCCAAAGAGUGCCAAGAAAAUAUUCCCCACACCAUGACACCACCACCACCAGCCUGAACCGUUGAUACAAGGCAGGAUGGAUCCAUGCUUUCAUGUUGUUGACGCCAAAUUCUGACCCUACCAUCCGAAUAUCGCAGCAGAAAUCGAGACUCAUCAGACCAGGCAAUGUUUUUCCAAUCUUCUAUUGUCCAAUUUCGAUGAGCUUGUGCAAAUUGUAGCCUCAGUUUCCUGUUCUUAGCUGAAAGGAGUGGCACCCGGCGUGGUCUUCUGCUGCUGUAGCCCAUCUGCCUCAAAGUUCGACGUACUGUGCGUUCAGAGAUGCUCUUCUGCCUACCUUGGUUGUAACGGGUGGUUAUUUGAGACACUGUUGCCUUUCUAUCAGCUCGAACCAGUCUGGCCAUUCUCCUCUGACCUCUGGCAUCAACAAGGCAUUUCCGCCCACAGAACUGCCGCUCACUGGAUAUUUUUUCUUUUUCGGACCAUUCUCUGUAAACCCUAGAGAUGGUUGUGCGUGAAAAUCCCAGUAGAUCAGCAGUUUCUGAAAUACUCAGACCAGCCCUUCUGGCACCAACAACCAUGCCACGUUCAAAGUCACUCAAAUCACCUUUCUUCCCCAUACUGAUGCUCGGUUUGAACUGCAGGAGAUUGUCUUGACCAUGUCUACAUGCCUAAAUGCACUAAGUUGCCGCCAUGUGAUUGGCUGAUUAGAAAUUAAGUGUUAACGAGCAGUUGGACAGGUGUACCUAAUAAAGUGGCCGGUGAGUGUAUAUGUGUAUAUAUGUAUAUAUAUAUAUAUUACUGUGUGUAUAUGCGUGUAUUUGUGUAUAUGUGUGUGUGCGUGUGUCAAUGUGUAUAUGUAUGUCUAUGUGUGUAUGUGUAUGUGUGUGUGUGUGUGUGUGUGUCCUUAGAAUGCUCACUCACUCAUUCAAUCGUCUCCACGGUUGACUCAGACAGGCUGAAGGACAAAAAUGAACAAUAGUGAGAAAAACUGAAAAACAUGGUUACUGAUUAAAGAUCCUGAUCCUCAGAUCUGAGAUCAUGUCAGUAAGAAUUCAGCCUCUUACGGGAAGGUGGAGGAGUUGGAGGAGGUGGAGAAGGUCGAUAAUAUGGAGAAUGUCCAUGUGAUCGUCUGCAUUUUGAUUUUGAUGAGCCCAUGUCUGCAGAGAACAUGUUCACAUAUUAAAACAUGACCUCAGCUGUUUGACCAGUCUCUAAAAUAAAACCUUUGUAGAAGCUCACGGUCUGCAGAUAUUCAGACAUUAUUGAUCUGUUUAAGGCUGAACCAUCAAUGAUAAAUCUGAGAGGUAAUCAGCUGAUAUAAAGAGUUCAAUAUUUCUCCUUUACAUCAACCUAUGAGGAACAAAGUGAUCAUUAUUACAAUAAUCUCCUUAUUCUGAAGUAAAACCCUCCAAACAUGAUGAGACAGCAUGCAACUCUUAAAUCAAUAAAAUCCAGUUUCUACAGAUUAAAAUGGAGCUGGAGGACAGAGUUGGUGUUUCAGUGAGCAUCAGUAAAUGACAGAGAGACUGUAAAAAAAGGUCCUAACAGGUUAAAGUGGCUCUUACCUGCUGCUGUAUCUCUGCUCAGAGUGACUCUGCAGAUCAGCGGGCUGGUGGGUUUUUAUAGAGUCUCCAUACUUUCACUUUCAGUCUCCCUGUUUGAAAUCACUCACAUGAUUUACUGGAAAACUGAAACUGAGCCCAUCCCAGUCAAUGUGUCAAUGAGACAAACUUUAUCUAUGACGCACUUCUUACACAAUGUUGGUGCAACACAAAGAGAUGUACAGAAAAAGAAAAGGAAAGUCAAAAUAAAAACAACAAAAUUUUAAUCAAUAAAUGAGUUUAAAAAAAUAAUAGAUUAAAAAAACUUGAAAUUAAAAACACUUUAGGUGGAGUUUCUGUGGUCUGAGUUAUAACCCUGUCUGAGUUAUAACCCUGUCUGUAGUAUAACCCUGUCUGUAUCAUAAACCUGUCUGUAGGAUGAUCCUGUCUGUAGUAUAACCCUGUCUGUGUUUAAGUCUAAGUUCAUGUGUUCACUCUGGAGUUGUUUGGAGUUUCUUUUCUGUCAGAGACCACCCUCUAAAAACUGAGUUUUUCCUUUGACACAGAAGACUCUGAUAAACAUUCAUUUUCUGUAUUUCAGGAUGAAUUUUGGGUCUCAUCAGGCUGUAACCCUUUUAGUGUUGAUGAUUAUGUUGAAUUAUCCCUAUUUUUUCAGAGCUGAGAGUGGAAAAACUUCGGUUGAAGACAAUUCAUGUUCAGAUGUCCUGAAGGGUGAAAUCAUGUCGAACUCGGUCAGAGGACUUUGUUUAAAGCAGCUACAGAGGGAACAACAGGAGGGUGAAAUAUUAACACAUGAUCACUUUAGACUUUUCAGUCUUUGACUUUCUGUCCAUGUUUGCAGACUGAGAGGUUUCUAAACAUUAUGGUGGAAAGUGUGUUAAAUAACCGUUAUCUGGAGAACAGGAUGUGGCGGUUAGGGAUGUGAGUGUCUGCAUGUCUUUAUUACUCUUUCACUUUCAAUAUGAGCACAAGAACAGCCCUGAUAGAGUGUUUCUCUUUUGGUUAGCAGUCAUUUUGCUGCAGUUCUCCUCUUUAAAGCGUCUCAAAACUGUGAUUUCUUCUGCAGCUCCUGGACUGAUAAACUGCAGAAACUCUGAGUUGUGUUUGUUGAUGGAAGAUGUUUCUGUGCUCAGAUGAAUAAACGACAGAGACACACAGAAACUCUGGAUGAAAACCUUCAGGAGCCCCCCAGUCAGACUGUCCCCCCCUGUUCUGUCUUUCCUGUUUUUCUAACAGGUCUGUGAUUCUUCUCUCUCUCAGCCCGGGUUUGUCGGGGAUUUCUCUUUGCCUGAUAUGAAACUUUCCCUUUCAGUCAGUUUCACCUGCUGCUGCCCUCCACACUCUCUCAGUGUCCUCGGUGUCCUGAAUCAGUUCACAAACAUUUAUUGAGUGUUACACUCAAUAAAUGUUUGUGAACUGAGGAGACGAACUGUUGAAGCUUUGAAGGUGGAAUUCUUUCCCAUUCUUGAUGUACAGCUUCAGUUGCUCAACAGUCCGGGGUCUCUGUUGUCCUAUUUUACGCUUCAUAAUGCUCCACACAUUUUCAAUGGGAAACAGGUCUGGACUGCAGGCAGGCCAGUCGAGUACCCGCACUCUUUAACUACGAAGUCACUCCGUUGUAACACGUGCAGAAUGUGGCGUGGCGUUGUCUCGCUGAAGUAAGCAGGAAGGCUGUCCAUGAAAAAGACGCUGCUUGGAUGGCAGCAUAUGUUGCUCUAAAACCUGUGUGUACCUUUCAGCAUGAAUGUUGCUUUCAGAGAUGUGUAAGUUACCCAGGCCUUGGGCACUAAUGCACCCCCAUACCAUCACAGACGCUGGCUUUUGAACUUUGCGUCUACAACAGUCCGGAUGGUUCUUUUCUGCUUUGGCCCGAAUGACACGACGUCCACUGUUUCCAAAAACAAUCUGAAAUGUGGACUCGUCAGACCACAGAACACUUUUACACUUUGCAUCAGUCCAUCUUCGAUGAGCUCGGGCCCAGAGAAGCCGGCAGCGUUUCUGGAUGUUGUUGAUCAAUGGCUUUCUCUUUGCUUAGUUGAGUUUUAACUUACAGAUGUAUCGACGAACUGUAUUUACUGACAGUGGUUUUCUGAAGUGUUCCUGAGUCCAUGUGAUCAUAUCCUUUACACAAUGAUGUCAGUUUUUGAUACAGUUCCACCUGAGGGGUCGAAGGUCACGGGCAUUCAAAGUUGGUUUCCGGCCGUGUCGCUUAUGUGCAGUGAUUUCUCCAGAUUCUCUGAACCUUUUGAUGAUAUUAUGGACUGUAGUUGAAAUCUCUAAAUUCUUUACAAUUGUACUUUGAGAAACGUUGUUCUUAAACUGUUCGACUAUUUGCUCACGCAGUUGUUCACAAAGUGGUGAACCUCGCCCCAUCCUUGCUUGUGAAUGACUGAGAAUUUUUGGCGAAGCUGCUUUUAUACCCAAUCAUGGCACCCACCUGUUCCCUAUUAGCCUGCUCACCUGUGGGAUGGUCCAAAUAGGUGUUUGAUGAGCAUUCCUCAAAUUUCUCACCUGUCCCGACUUCUUUGUCACGUGUUGCUGCCAUCAGAUUCUGUAUUCAAUUGAAUGUAGGUUGGAAAUGAUUUGCAAAUCGUUGCUGUAAGAAAAAUUGUAUGUGUAUGCUAUCACGUGUAUUUUAUCAUAAUCUAAGUAUUUUAAUCAUCAUUUACUGAAAAUCACUUGGUGUGAAUGCUUGCAGAAUCAUAUCUGUUUCUUUUUAAUGAGCAUGGGAAAGGAGAAGUAUGGCCUUAGAGUUGGGACUGAUACUUUUCCACUUUUAUGAAUCACCUCUCCCAGAUCUGUCUCCCAAAUAGUUUUAAAGGUCCCCUAUUAUGAAAGAUCCACUUUUGGGGUGGUUUUCUAACAAUAAUAUGCAUACCGGUAGGCCUGUCACGAUAACAAAUUUUGCUGGACGAUAAUUGUGCUACAAAUUAUCGCCGAUAAACGAUAUUAUUGACACCAUUUUUUAAAUUAUAGAUAAUGAUAUUAUAUGGCAUAAUAAUGCGAGUACACCAUGUCAAAAGGGAUAAACUUUAAUUUCCACACGAGAACAACACUGGUUGUUUUCGUUGACUAAAAUAUUUCCCUUUUCUCCCACGACGAAGACGUAACGUUGACGAGCUAAACAUAAGUCGGAGAUGACUAAAAUGUGACGAGACGAAAGUGCGUUUACGUUGAUGAGACGAGACGAAAAUGACGAACAGAGUUGCAAAACUCAGUCAGUUAAACGCUAAACAUAUAGGAGCAGCUUCAGUCCGCUCUGACAGCUCUCAUCAGCCUGCUGUGCUCCUCCAACACACAGACACGCACGCGCACACACACACGUGGAGUUUUGUGGUUGACGAAAACAAAACUGGUUUAAAGCCGAAAUAUUCCCACACUUGGGCUGUUGCGUUCGGUUUAGACACCAAAGCUGUCGUGUUCAUUCUGUUAGCUUGCUUUUCACUCACAAUGCUCACUUGCAGCACUGUAUCCAAAAAGUCUGUGUCUGUGUGCCUGUGCGCGCCAGCCCCCUCGUGACAAAGAUACUGAAUGACUGACAGGAGGGUUCACUAACUCCGUUCAUUCCGCUAUAGAGCCAACGCCCCCAGGUGCCGAGAACAAUGCGCAGAGUGAGACCUCUUCUCUCAUCCAGCGUGUUUGGUAGCGAGAGAGGAGGAAAACAAACGCACGUCAAUUAUCGAGGCUGGCAAAAUGACCGACCUCGUUUUUAUUUAUCGAGCGAUAAGGCGAUUUAUUGAUUAUCGCGACAGGCCUACAUACCGGACAUGAAAAAAUUUAAUUCUCUCCCACUCUUGCUUUCCCCUCCUUUCUGAAAACAUGAGCGCAAACGGGCGGAUGGAAAAGCUGUGCGGUUAUGAUGAACUUAAACCCGAUGCUGUGCAAAAAAUAAAAAUGCAUCAAAGUUAAUUUUGUUAUAUUUGACAUACCCAAGGGUGUGAUAGCAUGUAAAAAAUCUUCAGCCUCUGAUUACUUUUUAUAUUGAAAUUCUGUCAUUUUGUGUGAUUUUUUCUCUUUCCACCAAAUCAGUGACAUCACCUCUUAAUUUGGCAUUCAAGGGUUAAAAUUCAUAAUGAAAUAAUAAUAAAAAAUGUUAUGAUAAGGACUGAGCUUGACGAAUAGAUUUGAGCAAAAAAAAAAAAUUGUCUGGUAUGUUUUUAUAGCAGCUAAAGUAAGUG